GGCCUACCAUGGUGGUAACGGGUAACGGGGUGUUAGGGCACGACACCGGAGAGGGAGCCUGAGAAACGGCUACCACAUCCAAGGAUGGCAGCAGGCGCGCAAAUUACCCAAUCCCGACACGGGGAGGUAGUGACAAUAAAUAACAAUACGGGGUUCUUUCGGAUCUCGUAAUUGGAAUGAGUACAAUUCAAAUCUCUUAACGAGGAACAAUUGGAGGGCAAGUCUGGUGCCAGCAGCCGCGGUAAUUCCAGCUCCAAUAGCGUAUAUUAAAGUUGUUGCAGUUAAAAAGCUCGUAGUUGAAUUUCGGGGCCAGUAGGUUGGUCGUGCCACUGGUAUGCACUGGCCUUACUGGUCCCUCCCUCUUGUAGAACCGUGAUGCCAUUAAUUUGGUGUUGCGGGGAAACAGGACUGUUACUUUGAAAAAAUUAGAGUGCUUAAAGCAGGCUCGCGCUUGAAUACAUUAGCAUGGAAUAACGGAAUAGGACGAUCGAACCUAUUUUGUUGGUUUCUAGGAUCGACGUAAUGAUUAAUAGGGAUAGUUGGGGGCAUUAGUAUUCAAUUGUCAGAGGUGAAAUUCUUGGAUUUAUUGAAGACUAACUACUGCGAAAGCAUUUGCCAAGGAUGUUUUCAUUAAUCAAGAACGAAAGUUAGGGGAUCGAAGACGAUCAGAUACCGUCGUAGUCUUAACCAUAAACUAUGCCGACUAGGGAUCGGAUGAAGUUAAUUUUUUAAUGACUCAUUCGGCGCCUUACGGGAAACCAAAGUGUUUGGGUUC
rnacentral:rRNA from 1 species